UCCCGGUUGGCCCGGGCAGUCUCGCAUGAAAAAUACAACAUACGAUAAGGGUUGCGCUCGUUGCGGGACUUAACCCAACAUCUCACGACACGAGCUGACGACGGCCAUGCAGCACCUGUCACCUAGCUUCCGAAGACACCCCACCGUUUCCGGCGGGUUCUAGGGAUGUCAAGCCUCGGUAAGGUUCUACGCGUAGCGUCAUAUUAAACCACAUCCUCCUCUGCUUGUGCGGGUCCCCGUCAAUUCCUUUGAGUUUUAGCCUUGCGGCCGUACUUCCCAGGCGGCAUACUUAUCGCGUUAGCUUCGUUACACAGGGGGUCGAUACCCCAUACAACUAGUAUGCAUCGUUUACGGCGUGGACUAC
rnacentral:misc_RNA from 1 species